rnacentral:lncRNA from 1 species
AACGGUAUAUAUAAAAAGUAUUUCAAUAUUUUUUAUUUGAGGAGAAAUGGUGGUAUCACCAUAUUUGAGUGGUUGUAGUACCAUAUUGAUAGUUUGGAGAACUUAAAGUUAGAAUGGUGUUAACACCAUAUUUGAGUGGUCUCAGCACCAUAACAGAGUGGUAACAAUACCAUAUUAAAGUGGUUUCAGUAUUAAAGAGUGGUCUUAGUACCAUAUUUGAGGGUGUAAUUCUCGAACGGUUUUCUACAGUGCAGUAGUUAACCGCACAGUUGUAGCUGGGCUUGUUUUAUCCUGGAGGCGGCGUGGUUGAUAGUCUGCCUUGCACAAUUUUGAGUAGUGCCACGAAACGUCUUAAAGAAAGCGACCUGGUCGUGACUCAACCUAGUAACAACUUCGGUAGAUAAUAGAAUUUGGAAAUCCAAAUACAACAGUUUGGAAAUUCAAAAACAACAAUUUUA